rnacentral:rRNA from 1 species
UGGGGAAUAUUGGACAAUGGGCGCAAGCCUGAUCCAGCAAUGCCGCGUGAGUGAUGAAGGCCUUCGGGUUGUAAAGCUCUUUCGCCCGCGACGAUGAUGACGGUAGCGGGAGAAGAAGCCCCGGCUAACUUCGUGCCAGCAGCCGCGGUAAUACGAAGGGGGCGAGCGUUGUUCGGAAUUACUGGGCGUAAAGGGCGCGUAGGCGGCCCGUCAAGUCGCGUGUGAAAGCCCCGGGCUCAACCUGGGAGGUGCGCGCGAGACUGGCGGGCUGGAGUUCGGGAGAGGAGCGUGGAAUUCCCAGUGUAGAGGUGAAAUUCGUAGAUAUUGGGAAGAACACCGGUGGCGAAGGCGGCGCUCUGGACCGAGACUGACGCUGAGGCGCGAAGGCGUGGGGAGCAAACAG